GCUCACUUUGGCAGCAUACAGUAAAAUUGGAAUGAUACAGAAAAGAUUAGUAUGGUUUUUGUACAAAGACACAUAAAUCUGUGAAGCAUUCCAUUUUGAA
ensembl:snRNA U6 U6 spliceosomal RNA